UACGGGAGGCAGCAGGGGGAAUAUUGGACAAUGGGCGCAAGCCUGAUCCAGCCAUACCGCGUGGGUGAAGAAGGCCUUCGGGUUGUAAAGCCCUUUUGUUGGGAAAGAAAUCCAGCCGGCUAAUACCUGGUUGGGAUGACGGUACCCAAAGAAUAAGCACCGGCUAACUUCGUGCCAGCAGCCGCGGUAAUACGAAGGGUGCAAGCGUUACUCGGAAUUACUGGGCGUAAAGCGUGCGUAGGUGGUCGUUUAAGUCUGUUGUGAAAGCCCUGGGCUCAACCUGGGAACUGCAGUGGAAACUGGACGACUAGAGUGUGGUAGAGGGUAGCGGAAUUCCUGGUGUAGCAGUGAAAUGCGUAGAGAUCAGGAGGAACAUCCAUGGCGAAAGGCAGCUACCUGGACCAACACUGACACUGAGGCACGAAAGCGUGGGGAGCAAACGAGGGAUUAGAUACC
rnacentral:rRNA from 1 species